AGUUAAUGAAUUUGUAUAAAUAUGUGUUUUGAAAACAUAAAAAAGAGUUAAAAUCUCUAUUAACUU
rnacentral:tRNA from 1 species